rnacentral:rRNA from 1 species
AGAACGAACGUUGGCGGCGUGGAUUAGGCAUGCAAGUCGCGCGAAUCCCAGCAAUGGGGGAAGCGGCGUAAGGGGCAGUUGGGCGUGGGUAACCUACCCCGGGGCCUGGGAUAGCCCGUCGAGAGACGGGGUAAUACCGGGCGACGUGGUUCGGUGGCAUCGUCGGAUCACCAAAGGUCCGCCGCCCCGGGAGGGGCCCACGUGGUAUUAGCUAGUUGGUGGGGUAACGGCCCACCAAGGCGUAGAUGCCUAGCGGGUGUGAGAGCACGACCCGCGCCACUGGCACUGAGACACUGGCCAGACACCUACGGGUGGCUGCAGUCGAGGAUCUUCGGCAAUGGGGGCAACCCUGACCGAGCGACGCCGCGUGGAUGACGAAGGCCUUCGGGUUGUAAAAUCCUGUCGAGGGGAGGAAAGGCAACUUGACCUAGUCCCUGGAGAAGCGUCGGCUAAGUUCGCGCCAGCAGCCGC